AACGGCCGUACCAUGCUGAAUAUACCGGUUCUCGUUAGAUCACCGAAGUUAAGCAUCAUUGGGCGGUCGGUAUGGGUGACCACCUGAACACUGCGUGCCGUU